CGAACGGGUGAGUAACACGUAGGGAACCUGCCCGCGCACCGGGAAUACGCUCUGGAAACGGAGAACAAAUCCCGAUGUACAGGAAGGAGGCAUCUUCUUUCUGUGAAACAUCCUUUAGGGGAUGGGGCGCGGAUGGACCUGCGGUGCAUUAGUUGGUUGGCGGGGUAAAGGCCCACCAAGACGAUGAUGCAUAGCCGGCCUGAGAGGGCGGACGGCCACAUUGAGACUGAGACACGGCCCAGACUCCUACGGAAGGCAGCAG
rnacentral:rRNA from 1 species